AUGACGGGGAUGAUGGAGUCGGUGAAGGCGAGGCCGGCGAAGGGCGGCAGCGAGUACCGGCGGGUGGAGCCGGAGGAGGAGGAGGAGCUGGACGGGGCGGAGUGGGCGCGCAGGGCCGAGGCGGGGAGCCGCCGGCGGAAGGCGGCCGAGCGGUACGUCUUCACCUGCGCGCUCUUCGCCUCGCUCAACGCCAUCCUCCUCGGCUACGAUGUCGGUGUCAUGAGUGGCGCAAUCAUCUACAUCCAGAAAGAUCUCCACAUCACCGAGUUUCAGGAAGAGAUCCUAGUUGGUUGCCUAAGUGUGAUCUCACUCUUGGGAAGCCUGUCAGGAGGAAGAACGUCCGAUGCCAUCGGCAGGAAAUGGACAAUGGGCCUUGGUGCGAUCAUCUUCCAGACCGGUGCAGCCAUCAUGACAUUCGCUCCUUCGUUCACCGUGCUCAUGAUAGGGAGGCUUCUCGCCGGGGUGGGCAUCGGCUUUGGCGCCAUGAUAUCUGCCGUCUACAUUGCCGAGAUCUCCCCCGCGGCUGCCCGGGGGACUCUCACAUCCCUCCCUGAGAUCUGCAUCAACUUGGGGAUCCUUCUCGGCUACGUUUCCAAUUAUGCUUUCUCGGGCCUCUCCGAGCACAUCAGUUGGAGGGUCAUGCUUGGUGUCGGUAUCCUCCCGUCUGUCUUCAUCGGCGUCGCGCUUUUUGUGAUCCCGGAGUCCCCCAGGUGGCUGAUGAUGGAGAAGAGAGUUCCAGAGGCCAGGGCGGUGUUGCUGCAGAUAAGUGAAUCGGAGGCUGAGGUUGAAGAAAGGCUGGCUGAGAUUGAGGAAGCCGCAAAUAUCAUGAAGUCGGUUAAUUCUGAGGACAAGGCGGUGUGGAGGGAGCUGCUGAACCCUUCUCCGGCCGUUCGUCGGAUGCUGUAUGCUGGCUGUGGUAUUCAGUUGUUCCAGCAGAUCACUGGAAUUGAUGCUACUGUCUAUUACAGCCCAACAAUUUUCAGGGAUGCUGGAAUCAAGUCUGACCAGGAGCUUCUUGCAGCAACAGUUGCUGUUGGAUUUACUAAAACGAUUUUCAUACUGGUUGCCAUUUUCCUCAUUGAUAAAGUUGGGCGCAAACCGCUUCUGUAUGUCAGCACCAUUGGCAUGACGGUCUGCUUAUUUGCCUUGGGGACUGCACUUACAUUGCGAAAGCAUGCUGAGGGGCUUAUUUCUCCAAAUCUUGGGAUUGAUAUGGCGAUCUUUGCAGUUUGCGGGAAUGUGGCAUUCUUUUCGAUCGGGAUGGGACCGAUAUGCUGGGUGUUAUCUUCAGAGAUAUUUCCUAUAAGAUUGCGAGCUCAGGCAUCAGCACUUGGUCAAGUAGGUGGCAGAGUGGGCAGUGGCUUGGUUUCCAUGUCGUUCCUCUCCAUGGCCCGUGCUAUAUCCGUGGGGGGAAUGUUCUUCGUCUUUGCAGCGAUCUCGACCGUCUCCGUUGUGUUUGUGUACUUCUGUGUGCCGGAAACUAAAGGGAAAACUCUGGAGCAGAUUGAGAUAAUGUUUGAAGGUGGCAAGGAGUGGAAAGGAGGUGGCGAGGUCGAGCUUGAAGAUACACAGCAUUUAAUUCAGGGUGACAAGAAAGCUUUCUCUCUAGGUUGA
rnacentral:rRNA from 1 species